UCAUAGAGAUGGUAAAUAAUGUUAAAUAUCUAUACUCUUAUAUGAAUCCCCAAUAUCAAUGAUGAUGUGGCAAGCUCUCAUUUUUUUAUUUUUUUAAUUUUAAUUUUUUCUUCCUCAUCUUCUUUAACGUCUAACUCUUUACCUUCCAAUAACACCACCUUCUCUCUUUUUAUUAUUAUUGUAAUUAAUUCAAAAUUAAUUUUUUCUUCCAAAAGUUCUAAAUCUUCUUCUCUUCUUUAACGUUCACUUCUUUACCUUCCAAUAACCCCACUUUUCUCUCUUUAUUAUUGUAUUUAAUUAAUAAUUAAUUUUUUCUUCCCCCCAUGUCUCCAUUAAUGUCUUCGUUCUUCAACUUUUGCUAAAUCUCUUUCAUCCUCUCCCUCUCCCGUAAAAGUCGCUCGCUUUCAUUACUGUCGCAUCGCAUCAAGUUCAUAGAAUCCGCAGAUCCCGUCGUGUAUUUGGUCGGGAUGGCAGUGGUGGUAGAAGAUGAAGAUAUUGGAUGCGGCGGCGGCGGUAGCGACGAUAGAAAUGGAAGAGAGUGUAUGGAUAUAUAAUCAACUUACUAUUGAUAGUAUAUAUAUAUAUAUAUGGUGAUAAUCAAGUAAUCAGGAAUUUUUUGUAUUUUACUUUUUUUUUAAUGUUUUUUUUUUAA
rnacentral:lncRNA from 1 species